rnacentral:misc_RNA from 1 species
UAGAGAUAGAAACUUCACUGUUUCGAACCUCCAUCCCGUGUGAACAAAUGUUACCCUGGUUGCUUCGGUGCCUUAUCGCACCGACAGUACAUCUCAAUUCGUUUAAAACCAUGUUGUCUGAGUAUCAUCAAAUUUUAAU